rfam:Schistosoma mansoni strain Puerto Rico chromosome 3, complete genome
CAUAAGGAUUUUCUGGAAUCCACUUGAAAGAUUCAAUUAAACUAUGU